GCUACUAUAGUGUAAAAAGCACUUUGGCUUUUCAUGUCAAAAGAAUUCAUUAAGAAUUAGUAGUU
rnacentral:tRNA from 1 species